CCUACGGGCGGCUGCAGUGGGGGAUAUUGCACAAUGGGGGGAACCCUGAUGCAGCGACGCCGCGUGGGUGAAGAAGCGCCUCGGCGCGUAAAGCCCUGUCAGCAGGGAAGAAAAUGACGGUACCUGAAGAAGAAGCCCCGGCUAACUACGUGCCAGCCGCCGCGGUAAUACGUCGGGGGCAAGCGUUAUCCGGAUUUACUGGGUGUAAAGGGGGCGCAGACGGCGAUGCAAGCCAGGAGUGAAAGCCCGGGGCUCAACCCCGGGACUGCUCGUGGAAGUGCGUGGCUGGAGUGCAGGAGGGGCAGGCGGAAUUCCUGGUGUAGCGGUGAAAUGCGUAGAUAUCAGGAGGAACACCGGUGGCGAAGGCGGCCUGCUGGACUGCAACUGACGUUGAGGCCCGAAAGCGUGGGGAGCAAACAGGAUUAGAUACCCGUGUAGUC
rnacentral:rRNA from 1 species